rnacentral:rRNA from 1 species
CCUACGGGGGGCAGCAGUGGGGAAUAUUGGACAAUGGGGGGAACCCUGAUCCAGCCAUGCCGCGUGUGUGAAGAAGGCCCUCGGGUUGUAAAGCACUUUCAGUGAGGAAGAACGCCUGGUGGUUAAUACCCAUCAGGAAAGACAUCACUCACAGAAGAAGCACCGGCUAACUCCGUGCCAGCAGCCGCGGUAAUACGGAGGGUGCGAGCGUUAAUCGGAAUUACUGGGCGUAAAGCGCGCGUAGGUGGCUUGAUAAGCCGGUUGUGAAAGCCCCGGGCUCAACCUGGGAACGGCAUCCGGAACUGUCAAGCUAGAGUGCAGGAGAGGAAGGUAGAAUUCCCGGUGUAGCGGUGAAAUGCGUAGAGAUCGGGAGGAAUACCAGUGGCGAAGGGGGCCUUCUGGACUGAAAAUGGCACUGAGGUGCGAAAGCGUGGGUAGCAAACAGGAUUAGAUACCCUUGUAGUC